rnacentral:rRNA from 1 species
CCUACGGGGGGCAGCAGUGAGGAAUAUUGGUCAAUGGGAGAGAUCCUGAACCAGCCAAGCCGCGUGAGGGAAGACGGCCCUAUGGGUUGUAAACCUCUUUUGUCGGAGAACAAAACCCGGGACGUGUCCCGGACUGCGUGUAUCCGAAGAAAAAGCAUCGGCUAACUACGUGCCAGCAGCCGCGGUAAUACGGAGGAUGCGAGCGUUAUCCGGUUUUAUUGGGUUUAAAGGGUGCGUAGGCGGUCCGUUAAGUCAGCGGGAAAAUUGCGGGGCUCAACCCCGGCGAGCCGUUGAAACUGGCAGGCUUGAGUUGGCCAGAAGUACGCGGAAUGCGCGGUGUAGCGGUGAAAUG